UUGAGAGUUUGAUUCUGGCUCAGAACGAACGCUGGCGGCGUGGAUAAGACAUGCAAGUCGAACGGAGACUGAACGAUAGCAAUAUUGUUUAGUUUUAGUGGCGAAAGGGUGCGUAACACGUGGGUAAUCUGCCGUAAUGUUUGGAAUAACUUGCCGAAAGGUAAGCUAAUACCGGAUGUGGACCUUUUGAGGCAUCUUAAAAGAUCUAAAGCUGGGGACCGCAAGGCCUGGCGCAUUAUGAUGAGCCCGCGGCCUAUCAGCUUGUUGGUGAGGUAACGGCUCACCAAGGCAAAGACGGGUAGCCGGUCUGAGAGGACGGUCGGUCACACUGGAACUGAGACACGGUCCAGACACCUACGGGUGGCAGCAGUCGAGAAUCAUUCACAAUGGGGGAAACCCUGAUGGUGCGACGCCGCGUGGGGGAUGAAUGGCUUCGGUCAGUAAACCCCUGUCAUUAGUGAACAAACCUUUUAGAGUAAUAUUUUAAAAGCUGAUAGUAGCUAAAGAGGAAGGGACGGCUAACUCUGUGCCAGCAGCCGCGGUAAUACAGAGGUCCCAAGCGUUGUUCGGAUUCACUGGGCGUAAAGAGUGCGUAGGUGGCUAGGUAAGUUUGAUGUGAAAGCUCCGAGCUCAACUCGGAAAUUGCAUUGAAAACUGCUUGGCUAGAGGGUCGGAAGGGAGACUGGAAUUUUCGGUGUAGCAGUGAAAUGCGUAGAUAUCGAGAGGAACACCAGUGGCGAAGGCGAGUCUCUGGACGAAUCCUGACACUGAGGCACGAAAGCUAGGGUAGCAAACAGGAUUAGAUACCCUGGUAGUCC
rnacentral:rRNA from 1 species